rnacentral:tmRNA from 1 species
GGGGGCGACCGGUUUCGACGGGGAUAUUGACGCCAUCGUCGCAUGUCGAGAUCUCGGGAACUCGUAAAAUUCCGGGAAAAACGCAACUGCCAACCAAGAACUGGCACUCGCAGCCUAAUUUAGGCUGAGACGUCGUUCCAUCUGAGGCCCGCGGGGGUGGAAUGGCGCGAUGCAGCGGNGCAUGUCGAGAUCUCGGGAACUCGUAAAAUUCCGGGAAAAACGCAACUGCCAACCAAGAACUGGCACUCGCAGCCUAAUUUAGGCUGAGACGUCGUUCCAUCUGAGGUCCGCGGGGGUGGAAUGGCGCGAUGCAGCGGACUGGUCCCACGCCGGUGCUCAGCGGCGCGGGGCGAGACAAUACUGGGCUAGCGGCGAUUCUAAGCCGGCCGAUAGGCGUGGGUCGCUGCGAAGCUUAAAGAAUCGGCUACACAUGUAGACGCGAUGUGCCGACGAUCUUCGGACAGGGGUUCAACUCCCCUCGCCUCCACCA